GGACUGCCGGCGCGUGGAGCAGGAGCUGCUGCUGCUGCUGCUGCACGUGGGGACUCGGGGCACCUUGGCCACACACACAGACAGAGAUGCACGGGUCUAAUUACGACAUGUGGCGAGAGGAGGAGUCCUGGAGUUUGCAGAAAACCAUCUCCCAACGCACCACACUUCAAGUCUUGAUGGGCUACAACAGAAGAAGAACACAACGGGUGCCAUGUCAUUCCACCAACAUUGACUUUUUUAGUGCAAAAAAAAAUUGAAGGGUCGGGAAAAACUGUGAUGUGGAGGACAAAUAAACGAGUGUUUGCCAAGAAUCUAAGUCAACAAUCGCUCUUGUGUUUGGGAAAGAGGACUGUCAUCAC